GGAGAGCUGGUUUAAUCCGCGCCCCUGCUAAGGGCGAGUGGGCUUUAUAAGCUCACCGAGGGUUCGAAUCCCUUCUUCUCCUCCA
rnacentral:tRNA from 1 species